GCAAGAGCUGUGGUGCUCCAUCCCUGCAGGUGCCCCAGGCCGUGGGUUGGCCCUGGGCAGCCUGAGUUGGUCCCCAACCCGUGGGGGGGUCAUUAAGGUUCCUUCUAAACUAAGCCGUUCUAUGUCUCAUAACAGUGCCUGACGCUGGCUGUGCUUAGGGCUUGUUUCCUCCUUGUAUUCUCUCAUCUGGAUGCCUCGUUUGUGAGAUGCCGGUUGAGAGGGACCCAAAGAAGAUCUGGAAGAUCCCGAAGAGAGAGCUUUGUGGAAAAGCAUCUUGUGAUAGCAGGCUUUAGGUAGCGGAGUGCUGCCUGGGAUUGGAGAGAGGACAGCAUCGCCUCAUGAACCUUCUUUGAACUGUGCUCCCAGCAGGGAAGCUGAUGUGAAAGAAACCAACUAUGAAGGGUCGGAGGAAUUCGCACUGCCUUUUUCCACAAUUACUAACAAGUGCGUUCCGGCUGAACCUUCAGCUUGAGAAGAAAUUCUCAUAGAACUGAUGGAAUUGACCUUAGAAACCUACAACUGGAAGUAUGAUUCAACCACUCCUGGGGUUUUUUUGUCACCUUCCGACCUGCAUUGUGAGUGUGAACAUUUAGAGUGCUGUUACUCUGAAGAACCUCAAGGAGGGAUACCCAUUUUGGAAACCUGUGAGCUCUGUUAA
rnacentral:lncRNA from 1 species